rnacentral:rRNA from 1 species
AGUUCGGAUUGAAGGCUGAAAUUCGCCUUCAUGAAGCUGGAAUUGCUAGUAAUGGCAGGUCAGCAUACUGCCGUGAAUACGUUCCCGGGCCUUGUACACACCGCCCGUCACACCAUGAGAGUUGGAAAUACCCGAAGCCUGUGAGCUAACUGUAAAGAGGCAGCAGUCGAAGGUAGAGCCAAUGAUUGGGGUGAAGUCGUAACAAGGUACC